rnacentral:lncRNA from 1 species
UAUCACUCUGGGUGUCUAGGCCUUGAUGCCGCUGGGAAGAUCGGGGAGCCAGUGAAGGACACAUGCCUCAGAGACAGCACAUCCAAGUGUUACCUGCUGCCAUGUAAAACCCCACUGUGUUCCUGCGGCAUCAUCAGGCUUGGAAAAGAGCAAGUCCAAGGGUUCUCCCAAGGUCUGGAUCUAUCUGCAUGAAUGGCCCUCACCUGCGGUGCUCCUGACGCAUCUUGGAGGCCAAAGGAACUUUCUUCCUGGCUCUUGGCAGCAUUGACUGGGGAUCUUCAAAUGGCCAACCAGUUCACAGCCAUUGUGAACAUUUAUGUAAUAACACUUCAUUUCACCUGUUCCUCACAAUGGUCCCUGCUUUACAAAUAGAGAAGUGAAGCUUCUGGAGGUCAGAUGAUUUGCCCAAGGUUAUGGAAGUAGUAAGGAGUGGAAACCAAGCUUUUUAAUUUCAAAUCCAAUGCUCUUAUCACAAUACCUCACUAUUAAUCCCUAAUCUGCCCAAAUAUUGCAUUAAAAGGAAAUGAUUUAGGGAAGAGAUUUGAGGGUUGUCUCCUUUGAAAGUAUACUUUUAGAAUUUUCCAGCCAUUCUAUUCAAGGCAUCAACCCCAAUUCCCCUUCUGUACAUCCUCAAUGAGUGACAGCUUACCUCCUCCAGCCCAUACAGCCCUCCCCUCCCCACAUAGGGCCAGUGUCUUAGCAUCUUCCUCCCCGCCAACCACCGACUCUGGGUGGUGGGUGCCCAGUGUUGAGUCAGGGAACUUGGGAAGCUGCAGGGUUAACAGGCCCAUCAUCCCCUGCUGUUAAUUUCACUAGAAGCACUGUUAGGGGAGAGCAAUCUUACGGUGCCUAUCUACCUACUAUGCAGCAGGAAGUACAUUUUGAAGAUUAGUAUUUUUUAUCUUUCAAAACAACGCAAAGAAAUUUUUGCUUGUCGCAGGUGUUUUCAGAGACAGCCCUGAAUCUUCUAGAGAUGUCUCCUCAGCAGGCUGUGGGUUUCAUUGCUGAAAUACAACCCUCAUUAUCUGAAAAGCUCAUUGGGUAUCUACCAUAUGUCCCAGGACAAUGUGCCACGCUGGUGUUUUUCUCAUGUAUUAUUAGAUAACUUUCCUCAUCUUUACAUUGCUGUUAGGUUACACCCUCCUUGAAGCUCUUGUAGUAAAUAAUAGCACGUACCUACUAUGUGCCAAGAGUGGGGCUCAGACAAGUGUCAGGCAAGCGAGGGGCCUAGUGUACAAAAUUUAAGGAGGCAUUCAGCUGCUGACCCUGAGACUGAGUGCCUGGUCCUUUGUGAGUGCCGC